AGUUCAGUGGAACAAUCAUAACUCACUACAAACUCCAACUCCAGGACUCAGGUGAUCUUCCCACUUCCCACCUCAGCCUCUGAGUAGCUGGGAUCACAGAUACAGUGUUUUGCUCUUGUUGUCCCGACUGGAUUGCAAUGGCCCCAUCUCAACUCACAUCAACCUCUGCCUUCUAGGUAAGUGAUUCUUCCACCUAAGCCUGCUGAGUAGCUGGGAUUAUAGGUGUGUGCCACCACGUCCAGGUAAUUUGGUGCA
rnacentral:lncRNA from 1 species